UGAGAGGUCAUGAUAUAUUGCUGAUGUCAAUCUUGACUUGUAGGUAUUUAUAAAUUAAAGAGUUUAAUUCAUGAAUCAAUUAGAAAGAGUUCUAAUUGAUCAACUUGGGUUGACAUGAAUUGGACCUAAAUUGAUCGGAAGGAUUUCAAUUAAAUUAGGUCAAUAUACAUCUAGACCUGCUGCUAGCUAGAUGUAGAACCCAAUGGGUCACACAUGUAAUGAAUUUGAUUAAAGAUCUAUUUGGAAUAAGUCAUGGAUCAUUGGAUCCAAAUUGGAUUGCUAAUUGGCAUGCUAGCAUAUGUGGCUAACCCUAACUCUUAAAUCAAAAUAGAUUUGGUUUGAAAUCUUAUUUAUAUGGUUAACCUAAUUGAGUAUGAGUUGGAUUAGAUCAAGUUAUGGAGGGGCAGCCAAACGUUGGCGCCUCCAAGCCUCAACUCAUGUCCAUUUGAUUGAGUCCCAAGCGAUUGAGACUCUAUCUAGUAUUAGGUGCAACAAUAUGUGGCACCAAUUCAUUUUUGGUGUGGAGAAAGGACUAUAGUCCUUUUGACAUGGGAUUAAGACCCAUGUGGCACCUCUCAGGUCUAUCAAAAUAAAUUUGGUUUGAAAUCUUAUUUACAUGGUUAACCUAAUUGAGUAUGACUUGGAUUAGAUCAAGUUAUGGAGGGGCAGCCAAACAUUGGUGCCUCCAAGCCUCACUCACGUCCAUUUGAUUGAGUCCCAAGCGAUUGAGACUCUAUCUAGUAUUAGGUGCAACAAUAUGUGGCGCCAAUUCAUUUUUGGUGUGGAGAAAGGACUACAGUCUUUUUGACAUGGGAUUAAGACCCAUGUGGCACCUCUCAGGUCUAUCCUCACACCCACAUGUCAGAGUCCCAAGUGCCUGAGACUUAUCCAAAAUGGGCGCAACAAAUUUUUGGGUGCAUGUUAUGUUUUGGCAUGAAUAAGGAUUAAGAGUCCUUCUGCUUUGGGUCUCUGACCCAUGUGGUGCUCCAGCACUCUCUCUCUCCCCUUCCACACCUAUGGAUGGCUUUUGACCUUGUCCACGCCCUUUGGGUGGCAUGGAGCAGAUUUGUUCUGAAGAGAUGUGGUGGAAAAUUCUCAAAGGUGGCGCUAAGAGUCCUUCUACCUUACGCAAAUUGGUUGGCACCCCUUCAUCUCUUCUCACGCCCAUCAAAUGAGAUUUUUGAUCAAGUUAAAUACCACAUGACAUAGCAUGAAAGGUUUAUCAGCAAGAAAGGGUCAUAUAUACGACCUUUUGCUCCCGAAACAACGUUUCUUCGAAAGAAACAUUGCUCCCUUGACCCUUGGAGUCCUUCUGCUUGAAGGAACUAAUCUAAAUUCUAUGGAAUUAGAUUAUGGGGUGUGAGGACUUGGGAUGCAUUGCUUUGGGUGGCACCUCCUCUCUUCCUAUAAAUAGGGUUCAUUCGAUGAGUCCAAGACAAUCAAAAUUAAAUCCAAAACCAAUUCUCUUCCUUCUCUUGUUAAGUCAAGUCUUCUCUAGUUAAAACAAAUCUUUUCUAAUUGAGGCAAGUCAAGUAUCUUUAAAACAAGCACAGGAAAGAAAACAGGAAAAGGAUUAGAGAGAGGAAAGGGAGAAUUAAGCAAGAAAUAGGAAUGUUUUAGGAGAUCCUUGAGGAGGGUUUGAUCUUAGAGAGGCUAAAAGAAUUCUUAGAGGAAGAAUUCAGCAACAAGAUUCCUUGAAGGAGUGUCCUUGAUCAAGUACAGUAGGGAUCACCAUUGGAGGGCAAAUACUUGGGUGCCUUGUGGAAAUCGAUCAACCUAUACAGAUAUGCUUCUGAACAAAAAUGUUUAAAGUUUAGCUUUGAUUAUGAUCAUAAGGGGCUUUUAGAUUCUAGGGUUCGAUUGUCAUGGUGUUCAUUAAAAAGAAAUUUUUUGAACAUCACCCUUUCGCCACCAUACUGCAACCCUACAGUGGUAUUAGAGCCUCCCUUGAUUGAUUCAAUCAAAAGUCUUAAUGA
rnacentral:lncRNA from 1 species